rnacentral:sRNA from 1 species
UUAGCUCUUCUGUAACCUGAAAAAUCAUGAAAUACUCCUUUAAAAGCUGCAACACUAGACAAAAGAUAAAACUACUUUUGAUUUGAAAAAAUGCCACAAAGAACUUAAGGGUAUUGCUGUUUAGUUCUGUGCCAUGUUAACCAAGAUAUAAUAGUAAUACUUGAAUCGUGAAACUGGAAAAACUGCACAGAUUAAAGGAAAUUUUGUUCUUUUAGGAGAUGUUUACUUGGAUUUCUCUUUUCUGUAUUCACUUUUUAAUUACAAAACUGGCACUUUGAUUUCAAAUACCCUGUUAGACUGCAGUGUAUCAGAUCAAAGGAUGAAUUGAAUAAAGUUAGACAAACUUUAAAUUUAUGGUAAUUUGAUAACAAUUCAUGAUUUCCAUUACCCUCAUCUCUGAUUCAUCAGCAAAAAAGAAAAAUGAAAUUCCCACAAAUCUUCUAGCAUUGAUGAUCAACAACUUAUUGUCAUGUUACAUAGCAGCCUAUACAAAAGACAGUAAUCAGUAAUCACACACCAGUAAAACUACAAUCUGUUCAGCUUUCUACAAAGCAACCAAUAAAAUAAAUGGAACAAUAUCAAUCAUCAAUAUGACAAACUCUGUCAUAGGUUUCUGGUCAAGAAACCUAUAGAAACUCACACCAACACACCCAGACAAACUCAACAGAAAUACUGUAUAACCUCUCUUUGUAUUAUCAACAGCAAAGAAUACAAAAUACAACGAAUUAUGAGAGCUUAACCUCCACCCUUACAGGAUUAAAGAAUUCCUGUCAGACUAAUACUUGAUCCAAAGACCCCCCUUACAAUUAUACAAGACCUAUUUAUACAACCCCUUCCCGCCUUUCCUAACUGCCAAGGCAGUUAGGCUAACUAAUGUUUCUUUCUUCUUUCGUACACUCUUAACCUCCUAACACUCUGUAUUGACAUAAAAACUCUUGGGUGUAAAUCAGAAACUGAUUCAGACUUCAAGUUCUAGUUCUUUUAACUUCCUCAACCCACUUAGUCCCCUAUAGAUUCCAAACUCAGUUUCUGAUCCAGUUUUUGAGUAUAAAAGAUGUUAAUACUAUUGAAGGUUUGCAUUCAUCAAUAAACCAUUCAUACUUAAAAUCAGACAGAAGAAAUUGUGUACCACUGUUAUCAAACACGUACC